rnacentral:rRNA from 1 species
AUUGAACGCUGGCGGCAGGCCUAACACAUGCAAGUCGAGCGGUAGAGAGGUGCUUGCAUCUCUUGAGAGCGGCGGACGGGUGAGUAAUGCCUAGGAAUCUGCCUGGUAGUGGGGGGAUAACGUUCGGAAACGGACGCUAAUACCGCAUACGUCCUACGGGAGAAAGCAGGGGACCUUCGGGCCUUGCGCUAUCAGAUGAGCCUAGGUCGGAUUAGCUAGUUGGUGAGGUAAUGGCUCACCAAGGCGACGAUCCGUAACUGGUCUGAGAGGAUGAUCAGUCACACUGGAACUGAGACACGGCCCAGACUCCUACGGGAGGCAGCAGUGGGGAAUAUUGGACAAUGGCGAAAGCCUGAUCCAGCCAUGCCGCGUGUGUGAAGAAGGUCUUCGGAUUGUAAGCACUUUAAGUUGGGAGGAAGGGUAGUAACCUAAUACGUUGCUACUUUGACGUUACCGACGAGAAUAAGCACCGGCUAA